CUAAAUGAUGAAUUGUUACACAAACAUUCUGUCCCGGUGAACCCUGAGCCAUGGAUAAAACAUGCAUCACCAUCUGACC
rnacentral:snoRNA from 1 species